UACGAAGGGUGCAAGCGUUACUCGGAAUUACUGGGCGUAAAGCGCGCGUAGGCGGCUCAUUAAGUCAGGGGUGAAAUCCUGGAGCUCAACUCCAGAACUGCCUUUGAUACUGAGGAUCUUGAGUUCGGGAGAGGUGAGUGGAACUGCGAGUGUAGAGGUGAAAUUCGUAGAUAUUCGCAAGAACACCAGUGGCGAAGGCGGCUCACUGGCCCGAUACUGACGCUGAGGCACGAAAGCGUGGGGAGCAAACAGG
rnacentral:rRNA from 1 species